UACGUAGGGGGCGAGCGUUGUUCGGAUUUAUUGGGCGUAAAGAGCUCGUAGGCGGUUUGGUAAGUCGGGUGUGAAAUCUCCACGCUCAACGUGGAGGGGCCACUCGAUACUGCCAUGACUCGAGUCCGGAAGAGGAGAGUGGAAUUCCUGGUGUAGCGGUGAAAUGCGCAGAUAUCAGGAGGAACACCCGUAGCGAAGGCGGCACUCUGGGCCGGAACUGACGCUGAGGAGCGAAAGCGUGGGGAGCGAACAGG
rnacentral:rRNA from 1 species